rnacentral:rRNA from 1 species
UACGUAGGAGGCGAGCGUUGUCCGGAGUUACUGGGCGUAAAGGGUGCGCAGGCGGCGGUUCGCGUGGCGAGAUGAAAUCUCCUGGCUUACCUGGGAGGAUGGUCGCCAGACGGGAUCGCUUGAGGGUCGGAGAGGCGGGUGGAAUUCCGAGUGUAGAGGUGAAAUUCGUAGAUAUUCGGAAGAACACCAGUGGCGAAGGCGGCCCGCUGGACAUGUAUUGACGCUGAGGUGCGAAAGCGUGGGGAGCAAACAGG